rnacentral:rRNA from 1 species
UUCCAGACUCCUACGGGAGGCAGCAGUGGGGGAUAUUGCACAAUGGGGGGAACCCUGAUGCAGCGACGCCGCGUGGGUGAAGAAGUAUUUCGGUAUGUAAAGCCCUAUCGGCAGGGAAGAAAUUGGACGGUACCUGACUAAGAAGCCCCGGCUAACUACGUGCCAGCAGCCGCGGUAAUACGUAGGGGACAAGCGUUAUCCGGAUUCACUGGGUGUAAAGGGAGCGUAGACGGCCAUGCAAGCCUGGAGUGAAAGCCCGGGGCCCAACCCCGGGACUGCUCUGGGAACUGUGCGGCUGGAGUGCGGGAGGGGCAGGCGGAAUUCCUGGUGUAGCGGUGAAAUGCGUAGAUAUCAGGAGGAACACCGGCGGCGAAGGCGGCCUGCUGGACCGCGACUGACGUUGAGGCUCGAAAGCGUGGGGAGCAAACAGGAUUAGAUACCCUAGUAC